rnacentral:lncRNA from 1 species
UUUGGGUUUUUUUAAAAAUUAUAGUGAAGAAAUCAUUUAAAUAUAAAAAUAAGGUAAAAAAAAUGUAUAAAAAGUGGAAAUCAAAAAUUUUAUAUAAUUUAUUGUGUGUUAGUAAAAUUAGUAUUUGGAUAUAAAAGGGAUAAGGGAUGAUUUUACUACUUAGUCUGAAUCUAAAUAAAACCUUAGGGCCCGUUUGGUUCAAGUUAUGUAAUAUUACAAAGUAUUUCGACAUAUCCAGGUAUCUCGGAUUUCGCUGUGAGAUUAGUACUGAUGCUGCAUUAGCGUGUUUGGUUUAAUGCAGUAAUGUAAUACUAGAUUACAGUGUUUAUAGCAUUAAUACGUUUGGUUCAGUUUAAAAAAUUUAGUAAUCCUGACAUAAAAUUAUAGUUUUUUUCAAAAUUGUCUUUGUUGUGGUUAUUUAAAUAUUAUUUUUUGCGAAAAUGACGAAUGGAGGGAAGGAGAUCGUGAUGAUUACUUGGGAGAAUGACGCAAUAGAAGAUGAUAAGUGUUCAUGCGCGAGAGAGAGAGAGAGAGAGAGAGAGAGAGAGACAUCGAGAGAGAGAGAGCGAGAGAAAGCGGCGUGGGAGAUAAAGGGGGGAAGGCGAGAGAGAGAGAGGAAAAUAAUGCUGUUAAUUAGAUUUGGGGUUGUUGGAGGAUAAAAUUGUCAUUUUACAUAAUAUAUAUUAUUAACGGAUUUCAGUAAUGCAAGAUACAAGACCUCCCUCCCAUUAAUAUUUUCGAUGUAAUCCUGCUCGAUUUGUAAUUCUACAUUAACGACUAAAUUACAUAGCGGAUUAACCAAACACAGUUAUCCUGGCAGAAUUGCCUGUAAUCCUACCAAAACAACUCGAAUCAAACACACCCUUAGUGUCAUGUAAUUUUAUUUUAGGAACGCU